AAGUCGUAACAAGGUUUCCGUAGGUGAACCUGCGGAAGGAUCAUUAACACGUAUCCACGUAUCAACCAACGCGCACCUGUUUUCACAUCUCCCUUUUCCCUGCCAACUGGCUAGCUAAUGUGAUUUAAUUGAAUGGGGCUUUCGAUUCCGGUCGAGAGUCUGUGGUCACACGUGACGUGGAGCUUUACGGCUUCUAACGGUAGCAGGGAGGAAGGUACAACUGCGUCUAUUCGACUACCUCUCCAUUCAAAGAGGGAAUGGAUAGACGUGAAACCAUUUACUAAUUUCACCGCUUUUUUGCUAGUUGACUUUGACUGUGAAUUCGCUAGUGGUUCAUUCCACGAAACGAUUCGCACGUUUAAAUUUAUUUGAACGUUAAAGAUACAACUCUUAGCAAUGGAUAUCUUGGUUCUC
rnacentral:misc_RNA from 1 species